rnacentral:rRNA from 1 species
UACGGAGGGUGCGAGCGUUGUCCGGAAUCAUUGGGCGUAAAGGGCGCGUAGGCGGCGACCCAAGUCAGAUGUGAAAGUCCUGGGCUUAACCUGGGGACUGCAUUUGAUACUGGGUUGCUUGAAUUCGGGAGAGGAUAGCGGAAUUCCCAGUGUAGAGGUGAAAUUCGUAGAUAUUGGGAAGAACACCGGUGGCGAAGGCGGCUAUCUGGACCGACAUUGACGCUGAGGCGCGAAAGCGUGGGGAGCUAACAGG